GGUGAAGGUCAGCGGAUAUGUCGGUGCAGGUGAAACCCCAUCUACCCAUCGGGACCCAGCUGGAAGCUUCCGCUGCCGGUUUAAACCAUGACAUACCCCUGUGUGAAAUGGAGGGGUUCCUCUUUUGCUCCUGUUUUAAAUAUUUCCUAACGUCCCCACUGUGGAGAGAGCAGGACCGCGAGGCCCUCCUGGACCGAAAGGACUCCCUGGACCACCUGGCAAAGACGGCAUCGAUGGAGAAGCUGGCCCACCUGGUUUGCCUGGUCCAACAGGACCUAAAGGUGCACCAGGGAAGCCUGGAAAGCGUGGAGAUGCUGGGUUACCUGGCCUUCC
rnacentral:lncRNA from 1 species